UCAUUUUGGGCGUGCGAGCGCAGGCGGAAGAAUAAGUCUGAUGUGAAAGCCCUCGCUUAACCGAGGAACUGCAUCGGAAACUGUUUUUCUUGAGUGCAGAAGAGGAGAGUGGAAUUCCAUGUGUAGCGGUGGAAUGCGUAGAUAUAUGGAAGAACACCAGUGGCGAAGGCGACUCUCUGGUCUGCAACUGACGCUGAGGCUCGAAAGCAUGGGUAGCGAACAGGAUUAGAUACCCUGGUAGUCCAUGCCGUAAACGAUGAGUGCUAAGUGUUGGGAGGUUUCCGCCUCUCAGUGCUGCAGCUAACGCAUUAAGCACUCCGCCUGGGGAGUACGACCGCAAGGUUGAAACUCAAAGGAAUUGACGGGGGCCCGCACAAGCGGUGGAGCAUGUGGUUUAAUUCGAAGCAACGCGAAGAACCUUACCAGGUCUUGACAUCUAGUGCCAUCCUAAGAGAUUAGGAGUUCCCUUCGGGGACGCUAAGACAGGUGGUGCAUGGCUGUCGUCAGCUCGUGUCGUGAGAUGUUGGGUUAAGUCCCGCAACGAGCGCAACCCUUGUUAUUAGUUGCCAGCAUUAAGUUGGGCACUCUAAUGAGACUGCCGGUGAUAAACCGGAGGAAGGUGGGGAUGACGUCAAGUCAUCAUGCCCCUUAUGACCUGGGCUACACACGUGCUACAAUGGACAGUACAACGAGAAGCGAGCCUGCGAAGGCAAGCGAAUCUCUGAAAGCUGUUCUCAGUUCGGACUGCAGUCUGCAACUCGACUGCACGAAGCUGGAAUCGCUAGUAAUCGCGGAUCAGAACGCCGCGGUGAAUACGUUCCCGGGCCUUGUACACACCGCCCGUCACACCAUGGAAGUCUGCAAUGCCCAAAGCCGGUGGGCCUAACCUUCGGGAAGGAGCCGUCUAAGGCAGGGCAGAUGACUGGGGUGAAGUCGUAAGGGUAACCGAA
rnacentral:rRNA from 1 species